CCAAGUGUUAGUGAAUCUAUUGUUUUGAUGACAUAUGCAUUGUAUGAAAACUAGUUUCAACGCUCCAACCGUCAAACUUGUUUGUAUAUACUUCAAGAUCGCAUACGCCAAAAAUUGUAAAAAACAAACAUUUAGAAAUCAAAUAACAGGACAAAAUUUUUCGACGAUCAUAAACGAAAAAUCACGAUUUAACAAUUAUUUUAACUCUGAUUUUGAUAAUUUUUUAAAGCUACACUCCUUGACCCUAUUUGAAUACAAUGAAUGAAUUCGAUCUUCAAUUUAAAAUAUUUAUAUUAGUGAAUGCCACAAAAUCUUAUGUUAUACUUAAUGAAAGUAUAAAUAAACUCUUAAGUGUUAGUGAAUCUAUUGUUUUGAUGGGAUACGCAAUCUACGAAACUAGUUUUGACGAUCCAACCGUUAAACAUGUUUGUAUAUAUUUCGAUAUCGCAUACGCCAAAAAUUGCAAAAAAUAAACAUUCAGAGAUCAAGUAACUGGAUAAAACUUUUCGACAGUCAUAAAUGAAAAAUCACGAUUUAACGAUUAUUUUAACUUCGAUUUUGAUGAUUUUUAUAGUUACACUCCUUGACCCUACAUGAAUACAAUGAAUGACUUUGAUCUUCAAUCUAAAAUACUUACAGUGGUGGAUACCACAAAAAAGACUUUGCGCAACGUAGGUCCUACGUCGCACAAAGUGGUUUUGCGCGACGUAGGUCACUUCUUCGUCACGCAAACCCUUUUUUUUCUUUUUUUGGCAAACUUUUUUUAUUUAAUUUUUAAUAAAUAUUGUAAUUAAAUUCUAAACAAUAAUUAAUAAACCAAGAAAAAGUAACUAUAAAAUAUAUGAAAAUGUACAUACAAGAUGUCCGAACAAAACAAAAAAAACUACAAGUAUUCUAGGUUUAAUACAUCAUGCUAUUGGGUAUUGAUUGGGCAAAGUGGUCGGGAAGUCUAAGGUGGAGCAAGAUCAGGUGCUAGCAUCAGGAUUUGGAGGCCGAACAUCGCUAAGGCCUGUACAAUUAAAUGGAUACCACAAAAUCUUAUGUUACACUUAAUGAAAGUAUAAAUAAACUCUUAAGUGUUAGUGAACCUAUUGUUUUGAUGGGAUACGCAAUCUACGAAACUAGUUUUAACGAUCCAACCGUCAAACAUGUUUGUAUAUAUUUCGAGAUCGCAUACGCCAAAAAUCGCAAAAAACAAAUAUUCAGAGAUCAAGUAACUGAACAAAACUUUUCAACAGUCAUAAAUGAAAAAUCACGAUUUAACGAUUAUUUUAACUCCGAUUUUGAUGAUUUUUUACAGUUACACUCCUUGACCCUACAUGAAUACAAUGAAUGAAUUUGAUCUGCAAUCUAAAAUACUUACAGUAGUGGAUACCACAAAAAAGACUUUGCGCAACGUAGGUCCUACGUCGCGCAAAGUGGUUUUGCGCGACGUAGGUCACUUCUUCGUCACGCAAACCCUUUUUUUUCUUUUUUUGGCAAUUUUUUUAAUUUAAUUUUUAAUAAAUAUUGUAAUUAAAUUCUAAACAAUAAUUAAUAAACCAAGAAAAAGUAACUAUAAAAUAUAUGAAAAUGUACAUACAAGAUGUCCGAACAAAACAGAAAAAACUACAAGUAUUCUAGGUUUAAUACAUCAUGCUAUUGGGUAUUGAUUGGGCAAAGUGGUUGGGAAGUCGAAGGUGGAGCAAGAUCAGGUGCUAGCAUCAUGAUUUGGAGGCCGAACAUCGCUAAGGCCCGUACAAUUAAAUGGAUACCACAAAAUCUUAUGUUACACUUAAUGAAAGUAUAAAUAAACUCCAAUUAUUAGUGAAUCUAUUGUUUUGAUGGCAUACGCAUUGUAUGAAACUAGUUUCAACGAUUCAACCGUCAAACUUGUUUGUAUAUACUUCGAGAUUGCAUAUGCCAAAAAUCGCAAAAAACAAACAUUCAGAGAUCAAGUAACAAGACAAAACUUUUCGACGAUUAUAAACGAAAAAUCACGAUUUAACAGUAAUUUUAACUCUGAUUUUGAUGAUUUUUUACAGCUACACUCCUUGACCUUAUAUGAAUACAAUGAAUGAACUCGAUCGUCAAUUUAAAAUAUUUACACUAGUGGAUACCACAAAAUCUUAUGUUAUACUUAAUGGAAAGUAUAAAUAAACUUUAAGUGUUAGUGAAUUUAUCGUUUUGAUGGGAUACGCAUCAUACGAAACUAAUUUCAAUAAUCCAACCGUCAAAUUGAAUCCGUUACUUAUAUGAAUUGCCAAAUAAUACGGCAAUUUGAAUUUGGUAAUUCAACAAAUUCUAAAUAAAUUUUUAAACU
rnacentral:lncRNA from 1 species